AUUCCAUCCACUUUGAGCCCGGCCCCGAAGUAUGACUCCGCCCACAUUGAGCCCGGCCCAGAACCAAAAACGGUUGCUGCCAUCUUGUUUGUUUUUAGUGGGAGGAGGAAGAGGAGGGGUGGAAAAAGUAAACUACAGUACAGCCGCCCCAAAAAAAUUGGAGCGUAAUUGGUGCUGGGUCAAUGUUUUACGCCCACUUUGUACUCAGCAAGCCCACUGGGAUAAGAAGCUCACCAAGGCUCAUGUGUUUGAAUGCAACCUGGAGAGCAGUGUGGAGAGCAUCAUCUGCCCCAAGGUGAAAAUGGCCCUGUGUACUUCAGGUCAUCUGCUCCUGGGGGUGGUGAGGAUCUACAACAGGAAAGCCAAGUACUUGUUGGCUGACUAACGAGGCUUUCAUCAAGAUCAAGAUGGCCUUCAGACCAGGUGUGGUGGAUCUGCCAGAGGAGAUCAGAGAAGCUGCCUACAACGCCAUCACCAUGCCAGAAGAGUUCCACGACUUCGACCAGCCACUACCAGACCUAGAUGACAUCGACGUAAUCAAGCAGUUCACAUUGAACCAGAGUCGAGUGGAAGCGAUCACCAUGAGGGAGGAGGUGGGUAACCUGAGCCUGCUGCAGGAGAAUGACUUCGCUGACUUUGGGAUGGAUGACCGGGAGAUGAUGCGGGAAGAGAGUGCCUUUGAGGUGGACAUCAUCCACGGUGCAUCAGCCUCCAACCUGCUCCUAGACCCAGAGACCUAAGAGGCCCAGAUCACAGACAAGUCCAACCACCUGGAGUACGACGACCAGUACAAAGAUGACUUUGGAGAGGACCCCAUGGCUGACAGCGAAGGAUGCAUGCUGGACCUGACCAUCCUGGAAGAGCCCAGUGUACUGCAGGCAUCGGCCAUGGAGGGCAGCAGGACCACCCUGGACGAGUCAGUCAUGCCCCCACCCUCCUCCAUGCACGGCCAGAAAUGCAAGGCCCAGGACACAGAGCCAGCCUUGCCCAUGGGUACUCUGGAACAGGCUGCCAACCAUUCAGGUGUGUCCCAGCAAUUGGACAUGACGGUGGAGCUGCCCCCUGAGGACAGCACCAACCUCAACCUGUACCCCGAGCUGGACCUGGUAGGGGAGAAAAAGGACAAGGAAGGAAGGAGAGGACGAGGAUGAGGAAGGUCAGGCCGGAGAACAGGACUGAGAGGAGAGGAGGUGGAUCAAGAGAACCUAGCAGAUGCUCCACGGCCUGCAGAGGGUGAUGACCAAGACUGGGGCCAAGCAAAUUAGCCUGCUGGAUCUGUGCAGGAACAACAACAAGAAGCAGGCUGCCGCCAAGUUCUACAGCUUCCUGGUUCUGAAGAAGCAGCCGGCGGUGAAGCUCAACCAGACAGAGCACUACAGCGACAUCAUCGCCACCCCUGGAGCCCACUUCCACCUAAUCUAGACUCGACACUGGCUGCUUUUACUCUAAAACCGUUUUUGUUUGUAUAGGAUGUUAUUUAGUUCUCUGACACUGUGCAUAUAUAUAUAUAUAUAUAUAUAUAUAUAUAUAUAUAUAUUUAAAAAAAUUAACUACACUGAACAAAAAUAUAAACACAACCGGCAACAUUUUCAAAUCUAUGGAUUUCACACGACUGGCAGGGGCGCAGCCAUGGGUGGGCCUAGGCCUACCCACGUCCAGCCAAUUAGUUUUUCCCCACAAAAGGGAUUUAUUAUAGACAGAAAUAAUUCUAAGCACACCCCCCACCCGCAGGUGAAGAAGCCUGGGCUGGUGUGGCUACACCUAGUAUUUAAUUCUGUGUUUACAAGUGCUUGUGUGUCUGACUGUACUUUAUAUUUUCAAAUAUCUUCAUUUGUUGUGAUUUGAGGAUCAUGUAGAUUUAAAGAAUAACUACGCUUAUUGCAUGCUCCAUUUUGAAAUAUACUUUAUUCCAAUGAAUUGCUCCUGAAAUCUUAUUUUUAUGGUAUUUCUUGAAUAAUUACCUUUGUUUUAAGUCACAUACUGUGACAAUGAAAAUACUCAUAUCAACUAUCUAAUGCAGAUGUUAAUGGUUUGGUCAGAAUUAGACUUAGUUAAGGCUGCAUCUUUCGAAGCUGCACAAUCUCUAAAUUUCAAGACAACUCAGCCCAGUAGGUGUCAGGAAACUACAUUUCAUUAUACUUUGAUGCAGCUGAAUGUCUAGAAAACUUUAAUUUGGUAUUCAUUAAUAAUCUAAAAGUUUUGAUGGAAACUUGCAUAGGUGUUUAGACUCGUUGCGACAGUCAUUCUUCGAUAGCUUGAAUACGCUAUUGCUCGUCUUAUCAUGGUUCAUAGCUGCAGAGGACAAGUAGAUUUAUAGUUUUCUGACCAUCCUUUACAAUGAAUGUAUUGUUUUGAUAUCCACGGACUCCCUCUGAAAUUGUAUAUGAUGUUUCAGUGCAUCCCUUUUAAACUAUGUAAACUUGCAUUUUUCUUUAAAACCCAAAACGACAUCUUAUAGAUACUGUUGUUAAAAUGUGUUCUUACUCAGAUUUUUGAUGCCAUGCCUGUAGUCCUGAGCCCCAGCAACUGAUGUAAGUUUUCUAAUAAAAUGAAUACUGUUAACA